AACGAACGCUGGCGGCAGGCUUAACACAUGCAAGUCGAACGCUCGUAGCAAUACGGGAGUGGCAGACGGGUGAGUAACGCGUGGGAAUCUCCCCAAAGGUACGGAACAACUCAGGGAAACUUGAGCUAAUACCGUAUGUGCCCGAGAGGGCAAAGAUUUAUCGCCUUUGGAUGAGCCCGCGUUGGAUUAGCUAGUUGGUGGGGUAAUGGCCUACCAAGGCGACGAUCCAUAGCUGAUCUGAGAGGAUGACCAGCCACACUGGGACUGAGACACGGCCCAGACUCCUACGGGAGGCAACAGUGGGGAAUCUUGGACAAUGGGCGAAAGCCUGAUCCAGCCAUGCCGCGUGAGUGAAGAAGGCCUUAGGGUUGUAAAGCUCUUUUGCCCGGGAAGAUAAUGACGGUACCGGGAGAAUAAGCCCCGGCAAACUUCGUGCCAGCAGCCGCGGUGAUACGUAGGGUCCGAGCGUUGUCCGGAAUUAUUGGGCGUAAAGGGCUUGUAGGCGGUUCGUCGCGUCAGAAGUGAAAACUCAGGGCUUAACCCUGAGCCUGCUUUUGAUACGGGCGGACUAGAGGGAUGCAGGGGAGAACGGAAUUCCUGGUGGAGCGGUGGAAUGCGCAGAUAUCAGGAGGAACACCGGUGGCGAAGGCGGUUCUCUGGGCAUUACCUGACGCUGAGAAGCGAAAGCGUGGGGAGCAAACAGGCUUAGAUACCCUGGUAGUCCACGCCGUAAACGGUGGGCACUAGGUGUGGGGGACAUUCCACGUUCUCCGUGCCGCAGCUAACGCAUUAAGUGCCCCGCCUGGGGAGUACGGCCGCAAGGCUAAAACUCAAAGGAAUUGACGGGGGCCCGCACAAGCGGCGGAGCAUGCGGAUUAAUUCGAUGCAACGCGAAGAACCUUACCUGGGUUUGACAUAUGCCGGAAAGCUGCAGAGAUGUAGCCCCCGCAAGGUCGGUAUACAGGUGGUGCAUGGCUGUCGUCAGCUCGUGUCGUGAGAUGUUGGGUUAAGUCCCGCAACGAGCGCAACCCUCGUUCUAUGUUGCCAGCACGUAAUGGUGGGGACUCAUAGGAGACUGCCGGGGUCAACUCGGAGGAAGGUGGGGAUGACGUCAAGUCAUCAUGCCCCUUAAGUCCAGGGCUCCACGCAUGCUACAAUGGCUGGUACAAAGGGCUGCGAUACCGCAAGGUGGAGCGAAUCCCAAAAAGCCAGUCUCAGUUCGGAUUGGGGUCUGCAACUCGACCCCAUGAAGUCGGAGUCGCUAGUAAUCGCAGAUCAGCAACGCUGCGGUGAAUACGUUCCCGGGCCUUGUACACACCGCCCGUCAAGUCAUGAAAGUCGGUAACACCCGAAGCCGGUGGCUCAACCCCUUGUGGGAGGGAGCCGUCUAAGGUGGGACUGGCGAUUAGGACU
rnacentral:rRNA from 1 species